rnacentral:rRNA from 1 species
UGAGCAAUCUGCCCUUCUCUUUGGAAUAAGCGUUGGAAACGACGUCUAAUGCCGAAUACGACCUCCUUUCGCAUGAUCGGAGGUGGAAAGCUCCGGCGGAGAAGGAUGAGCUCGCGGCCUAUCAGCUAGUUGGUGUGGGUAAUGGCCCACCAAGGCGACGACGGGUAGCCGGCCUGAGAGGGUGACCCGGCCACACUGGGACUGAGACACGGCCCAGACCUCCGUACGGGAGNAG